rnacentral:rRNA from 1 species
GGACAGAAGGGAGCUUGCUCCCUGAUGUUAGCGGCGGACGGGUGAGUAACACGUGGGUAACCUGCCUGUAAGACUGGGAUAACUCCGGGAAACCGGAGCUAAUACCGGAUAGUUCCUUGAACCGCAUGGUUCAAGGAUGAAAGACGGUUUCGGCUGUCACUUACAGAUGGACCCGCGGCGCAUUAGCUAGUUGGUGGGGUAAUGGCUCACCAAGGCGACGAUGCGUAGCCGACCUGAGAGGGUGAUCGGCCACACUGGGACUGAGACACGGCCCAGACUCCUACGGGAGGCAGCAGUAGGGAAUCUUCCGCAAUGGACGAAAGUCUGACGGAGCAACGCCGCGUGAGUGAUGAAGGUUUUCGGAUCGUAAAGCUCUGUUGUUAGGGAAGAACAAGUGCGAGAGUAACUGCUCGCACCUUGACGGUACCUAACCAGAAAGCCACGGCUAAC